GCGCCCUUAGCUCAGCUGGAUAGAGCGUUAGACUACGAAUCUAAAGGCCGGGAGUUCGAAUCUCUCAGGGCGCGCCA
rnacentral:tRNA from 5 species